rnacentral:rRNA from 1 species
CCUACGGGAGGCAGCAGUGGGGAAUAUUGGACAAUGGGGGCAACCCUGAUCUAGCCAUGCCGCGUGUGUGAAGAAGGCCCUCGGGUUGUAAAGCACUUUCAGUGAGGAAGAACGCCUGGUGGUUAAUACCCAUCAGGAAAGACAUCACUCACAGAAGAAGCACCGGCUAACUCCGUGCCAGCAGCCGCGGUAAUACGGAGGGUGCGAGCGUUAAUCGGAAUUACUGGGCGUAAAGCGCGCGUAGGUGGCUUGAUAAGCCGGUUGUGAAAGCCCCGGGCUCAACCUGGGAACGGCAUCCGGAACUGUCAAGCUAGAGUGCAGGAGAGGAAGGUAGAAUUCCCGGUGUAGCGGUGAAAUGCGUAGAGAUCGGGAGGAAUACCAGUGGCGAAGGCGGCCUUCUGGACUGACACUGACACUGAGGUGCGAAAGCGUGGGUAGCAAACAGGAUUAGAUACCCUGGUAGUC